UGCGAAGGUCAUCGGUUCGACUCCGAUAGCGGGCU
rnacentral:tRNA from 1 species